UACGGAGGGUGCGAGCGUUGUCCGGAAUCACUGGGCGUAAAGGGCGCGUAGGUGGCGCGGGCAGUCAACGGUGAAAGUUCGGGGCUCAACCCUGAAUCGGCCGUCGAUACUCCCGUGCUUGAGCACUGUAGAGGCAGAUGGAAUUCCGGGUGUAGCGGUGGAAUGCGUAGAGAUCCGGAAGAACACCGACGGCGUAGGCAGCGCCCUAGACGAGACCUGACGCUCAGGCACGAAAGCGCGGGGAGCGAACAGG
rnacentral:rRNA from 1 species